rnacentral:pre_miRNA from 12 species
GAUUCAUAUGCACUUCAUGUGUGUGAUUUGUGGCAAAGUGAUUAGUAUUUGAAAUCCCCUUGUUGCAAACCUCACGCUUGUGGUUCUUU